UCAAUGGCAAACCAGAAAGGUUGAAGUAUGAACAAUUGGCAGUUCCCUGAGCCAAAGCAAGAUUUCCGCAGAAACCCGAAUUGGAAACAAAAAAGGGAGAAAAGAAGGCUGUGAAGGCAGCGCGUGACGAUGAAGAACCUCAGCUUUGUGGUGCUUAUUUGCUUAUGCUGCAAAUAUUUACACCUAUCUCCGCCGUAUGGAGUACAAAGAUGUUGAAUUUGUGAGUUUGGGUGUUAAUGCAAUAAUGGGUUUGGACUUUGGUUGAAUAGUUUAGGGGAUCGAUCUGGAUUAGAGUGUUUUUUUUUUU
rnacentral:lncRNA from 1 species